UGCCUAACACAUGCAAGUCGAACGGUAACAGGUCUUCGGAUGCUGACGAGUGGCGCACGGGUGAGUAACGCGUGGAUAUCUGCCUAUGAGUGGGGGAUAACUUUCGGAAACGAAAGCUAAUACCGCAUAAUCUCUACGGAGCAAAGCAGGGGACCUUUCGGGGCCUUGUGCUUAUAGAUGAGUCCGCGUCAGAUUAGCUAGUUGGUGGGGUAAGAGCCUACCAAGGCGAUGAUCUGUAGCUGGUUUGAGAGGAUGAUCAGUCACACUGGAACUGAGACACGGUCCAGACUCCUACGGGAGGCAGCAGUGGGGAAUUUUGCACAAUGGGCGCAAGCCUGAUGCAGCGAUGCCGCGUGUGGGAAGAAGGCCUUUGGGUUGUAAACCACUUUCAAUUGGGAAGAAGGGAUGAGUAUUAAUAAUACUCUGACUUGACGGUACCUUUAGAAGAAGCACCGGCUAAUUUCGUGCCAGCAGCCGCGGUAAUACGAAAGGUGCAAGCGUUGUUCGGAUUUACUGGGCGUAAAGAGAUCGUAGGUGGUUUGUUAAGUUAGAUGUGAAAUCCCGGGGCUCAACCUCGGAACUGCAUCUAAAACUGGCAGACUUGAGUUCGGGAGGGGUAAGCGGAAUUCCGUGUGUAGCAGUGAAAUGCGUAGAUAUACGGAGGAACACCUGAGGCGAAGGCGGCUUACUGGACCGAUACUGACACUGAGGAUCGAAAGCGUGGGUAGCAAACAGGAUUAGAUACCCUGGUAGUCCACGCCCUAAACGAUGUCAACUAGCCGUUGCGGGUAUCGACCCCUGCAGUGGCGCAGCUAACGCGAUAAGUUGACCGCCUGGGGAGUACGG
rnacentral:rRNA from 1 species